GGCGUGGUGGCUGAGUGGUAAAGCGCUUGGCCUCUGAAUCAGGAGUCCUGGGUUCAAAUCCUGGUGAAGACU
rnacentral:tRNA from 1 species